rnacentral:rRNA from 1 species
GACGAACGCUGGCGGCGUGCCUAAUACAUGCAAGUAGAACGCACAGUUUAUACCGUAGCUUGCUACACCGUAGACUGUGAGUUGCGAACGGGUGAGUAACGCGUAGGUAACCUGCCUGGUAGCGGGGGAUAACUAUUGGAAACGAUAGCUAAUACCGCAUAAUAUUGAUUAUUGCAUGAUAAUUGAUUGAAAGAUGCUAUUGCAUCACUACCAGAUGGACCUGCGUUGUAUUAGCUAGUAGGUGAGGUAACGGCUCACCUAGGCGACGAUACAUAGCCGACCUGAGAGGGUGAUCGGCCACACUGGGACUGAGACACGGCCCAGACUCCUACGGGAGGCAGCAGUAGGGAAUCUUCGGCAAUGGACGAAAGUCUGACCGAGCAACGCCGCGUGAGUGAAGAAGGUUUUCGGAUCGUAAAGCUCUGUUGUAAGAGAAGAACGGGUGUGAGAGUGGAAAGUUCACACUGUGACGGUAGCUUACCAGAAAGGGACGGCUAACUACGUG